rnacentral:tRNA from 2 species
CAAAUUAAAGCUUAAAUAGUAAAGCAUUUCAUUUACAUUGAAAAAAUAUUGUGCAAUUCAAUUUAAUUUGA